rnacentral:rRNA from 1 species
GACGAACCGUCCAAACGUUAUUCGGAAUCACUGGGCUUAAAGGGUGCGUAGGCGGCGCGGAAAGUUGGGUGUGAAAUCCCUCGGCUUAACCGAGGAACGGCGCCCAAAACUACCGUGCUCGAGGGAGAUAGAGGUGAGCGGAACUUAGGGUGGAGCGGUGAAAUGCGUUGAUAUCCUAAGGAACACCGGUGGCGAAAGCGGCUCACUGGAUCUCUUCUGACGCUGAUGCACGAAAGCUAGGGUAGCGAACGGG